GAGCCCUUAGCUCAGUCGGUAGAGCAGUUGCCUUUUAAGCAAUUGGUCGCGAGUUCGAGUCUCGCAGGGCUCA
rnacentral:tRNA from 1 species